ACUUAACUCAUCUGUAAUUGGUUACACGUUUGAAUCUGGUUCUUUAUUGUAUUUGUACACAUUCAUCCUAGCAUUCUUAUAUCUACCACACUAAUUUUACAGACUUGGUGUUUCUUCACUGCCCAACACUUGUAAUAGUCAGUUGAAUUGGAGACUAAGAUUUAUUUUACAAGGACAUAAAUUCUUGUCAUACUUCUCCUUUUCGACCAUUCUGCUUUGAACUUAAGAUAGAUGUUGAUCACUCUCUCACCUUCCCGUUUUUAAUAGAGCCCAG
rnacentral:misc_RNA from 1 species